CCUACGGGUGGCAGCAGUGAGGAAUAUUGCUCAAUGGGCGGGAGCCUGAACCAGCCAAGUCGCGUGAGGGAAGACGGUCCUAUGGAUUGUAAACCUCUUUAGGCGGGGAGCAAUGCCGGGCACGUGUGCCCGGAGGGAGAGUACCCGCAGAAUAAGCAUCGGCUCACUCCGUGCCAGCAGCCGCGGUAAUACCGAGGAUGCGAGCGUUAUCCGGAUUUAUUGGGUUUAAAGGGUGCGUAGGCGGAUUUUUAAGUCAGCGGUAAAAUGUCCGGGCUCAACCCGGGCCGGCCGUUGAAACUGGGGAGCUUGAGUGGGCGAGAAGUAUGCGGAAUGCGUGGUGUAGCGGUGAAAUGCGUAGAUAUCACGCGGAACUCCGGUUGCGAAGGCAGCAUACCGGCGCGCGACUGACGCUGAGGCACGAAAGCGUGGGGAUCGAACAGGAUUAGAUACCCGGGUAGUC
rnacentral:rRNA from 1 species